CAGGACAGCCACCAGCAAGAAAACUUCUGUGAGUGGCCUUGCUCCUGAGCACUUGUGAAAUAUCUCCUAGGGACUCCCAGAACUAAUCUGAAGAGUUAAGGAGGCUGAGCUCCUGCUUAAGCAAGUAGAGAUCAAAAUCAGGAAAGGUGUGUGGAUUCGCAAUGGGAAACCAGACGUGUAGCCUUCAUUUGCUACUAGCUCCUAGGCCUUAUGUGCGAGUGAUCCUCCGUCUCCUCCUCUAGAAAAUAAGAGGCCUGGACCAGAUGGGCUCUGUGGCCCCUCUAAGGAAGCCACGCAGAAUAAGAGUGUGGAAACCCCAGGACAUGGAAGCCAACCCAACUUGAGCAGGCUCAUCUCCAUCUUUCACUCUUUGGGCAGGUUACUCACCUUCCCGAGUCUGCAGUUCCUCUCUAGAACAUAAGAUGCAUACUAUCCACCAUGCAGAACUAUUGGAAUGUUAAAUAAAAUAAGGAACACAAGUACCUCA